rnacentral:snoRNA from 14 species
GGUCUGUGAUGUUUGAGAUUGUCCGUACCAUCUGAGAGUUUAUCUCGUUGAUGAGCUGUAUGCUCUUGUUUCUGAGGCUU